CAGGAGCACGGGCAGAGGGCUCAGACUUCCCACUGCUUAACUGCGACAACUUGGUGCACGAAGAGCAAGGAAAAUCCCACCUGACGCUUCAUUUUCUCACUUCCAGUCGCCAAAAGGGCUUUUUUUGGGUUUUAUUCUGCCCUCCUUUUAUCUCCUGCUGUCUCAGUAUCUUACAAGAGAACCUUGUCUCCGAGUUGCAAGUGCUGCUGUCAGAUGGACUUGGCUGAGGGGAGUUCCCCACGCGCAGCGCCUGGGCAGGGCUGAAGUGUCCCCAUCCCAGCGUGGCUCUCUGUUCCUCAGGAUGACAACAAUGGAUGCAAACCCAAGGAGCAACACAGCUGCAAAGCACAGCCUGGCCAAGGCGCUCUACGACAACAAGGCCGAGUGCUCGGACGAGCUGGCGUUCCGCAGAGGGGACAUCGUGACGGUGCUGGAGCAGCACGUGCCGGGCAGCGAGGGCUGGUGGCGGUGCUCCCUGCACGGCCACCACGGCCUGGCGCCCGCCAACCGCCUGCAGCUCCUGCCACCCUCCGCGGAGCCGCCGGCCGCGCACAGCAUCUACCAGGUGCCCUCCGUGCCCUCCGUGCCCAAGGCCACGGCGCUGUCGGCCACCUACGAGAAGAUGGAGGGCUGGGUUCAGCCCCAGGCCCUCCCUGCCCAGGCCGUGUACCAGGUGCCGGCCCUGGCGGCGCAGCUGCUCAGCGAGAGGACCAAGCGCUCCACGCACCAGCACCUGUUUACCCUCCCCAGAGCCUGCCGGGCUUCAGCCUCAAACAUCAGGGGUGAGGUGUACGAUGUCCCCUCCUCACAGCACCGCGCGUCCCUGCUCCCACAGAGUGGUGCCACUCCCCCCAGCACACGGAAGGGCUCCGCGCUGGGCAGAUCCACAGAGAGCUUCCAGGCAGAGCAGAAGCAGCUUUACAACAUCCCAGCCAAGCCAGAAAAAGGAGGAGCUGGCAGCCAGGACUCACCAGCAGGCAAUUUAUAUGAUGUCCCUCCUAAAAGAGAACUCGAUGACUCAGAAAAUAAAUCUCAGAAGAAACGCUGGGGCCAUUACAACACUUUGCCAAACCCUCGGAAGUCCGAAUGGAUUUACGAUAUUCCAGUAUCCCCUGACAAUUCCGGAUUCAAACCCAACCCUCCUGGCCAGUCUGUGGAGAAGCAGGUGCUGUAUGACAUUCCCCCAGCCAGGUACAAGGCUCCAGCCACAACCAGCGAAGCCAAGGCUGGAAAUCCACAGCUGUACGACAUUCCACCGGCCCAGCGGAAGUUAACGCUUCCAGAAAUCCCUCUUUACGACGUUCCACCCUCUCGGGACGUGAUCCUCCUGCCACAGAACGGCAGCUCUGAGCUGCCCCCGAGGCUCCUGGCUGCCAAGGCUGAGAAUCAGGUCUCUGAGGAGAACGUUUAUGAUAUUCCCAAAGGUUUGCCCAGUGCUGGGCACUCCAAGAAAGAGAUGGAAAACAACAGUGAUGGCUCCAGAGACCAAGCACACGGUGCUUCUCCACAGCUCUCGAUGGAUGCCAAGUCAGAAAAUGACAGUUUGUGUGUCUCCAGUGUGGACAGCAGAAGCAGCACUCUCUCCUCAUCCUCCAGCUCUUCUGCUGAGUCGUCUUCUACGCUGUCACCAUCACCAGAGCCUGUCCAAGAAAUCAAACUGGAGCUGGAAGCAGCCAUCGAGACCCUGACUCGGCUGCAGCACGGCGUGUCCAGCUCCAUCGCCAGUUUAAUGAUCUUUGUGAGCAGCAAGUGGAGAUUGCAGGAGCACCUGGAGAAAAGCCUGGAGGAGAUCCACAGAGCAGUGGACCACAUAAAGGUGUCACUGGGAGAGUUCCUGGCCUUUGCUCAAGCCCUGAAGGGAAACGCCUCCAACCUCACGGAUAACAACCUGCAGGCCAGAAUUAAAAAGCAGCUGGAAAUCCUCAUGAACUCCUACAAAAUAUUGACAGAAACGAGGGAAGCUCUCAACAGCUGCAGCUGGUCCCUGGAGGCUUUGGUGCUCAGGAAGCCCCAGAACAACCCUGACGACCUGGAUCGCUUCGUUAUGGUGGCCAGGACAAUUCCAGAUGAUAUCAAGAGGUUUGUGUCCAUCAUCAUCGCCAACGGGAAGCUGCUCUUCAGGAAGAAUGAGAAGGAGCCAGAUAAAAAGCAACCAAAAGUGAACCUGGAAUGCAAAAUGGCAAAACAAAUCCCAGUGCCAAGAAGAGUAGAAAUUGAGUCACUCCAGAGAAAUGCUCCUGAGAAAUCCAGCCAAAGCCGGGUCCCUGUGGAGAAACCAGAAGAAAAUGGCACUGAGGAUUGUGAUUACGUCCAGUUACAGGUUUUGCCAUGUGCAAAAAAGACUGAAAAUCCCGGCAGGCAGGAGCCUGCCAGGAAAAUCCCCCUCCCAGAGCACUGCAGGCUGUGCUUCGCUGCCCUCCACAAGGCCAUCGGCGUGUUCACCGCCAGCCUCGGCAGCCAGCAGCCCCCCGAAAUCUUCAUCUCCCACAGCAAGCUCAUCAUCAUGGUGGGGCAGAGGCUGGUGGAUUCCCUGUGCCAGGAGAGCCAGGACAGGGAGGCCCGGAGCGACGUCCUGCACAGCAGCAGCCGCUUCUGCAGCCUCCUCAAGAACCUGGCCCUGGCCACCAAAACCGCAGCGCUCAAAUUCCCCAACGCCGAGGCCACCAGGGAGCUGCGGGAGCAGGCGGAGGAGCUGGCCAAGUACACCCAGCAGUUCCGGGCCACGAUGGACUGAGGGACCUGCCACUGCUGCUCCUCUGGGCACACCCGCAGCUCCAGCAGGCAUUCCCUGGCUGCCGGUGCACGUGAAGAUCCCCCUACCUGGAAUUCCCACUAGAAUUCCCUGGCUGCCGGUGCACGUGAAGAUCCCCCUACCUGGAAUUCCCACUAGAAUUCCCUGGGUGCUGGUUCAGGUGAAGAUCCCCACUCAGAAUUCCCAGCAGGAAUUUCCUGGGUGCUGGUUCAGGUGAAGAUCCCCACACUCAGAAUUCCUACCAGGAAUUCCCUGAGUGCACUGGUGGAGAUCCCCCCACUCAGAAUUCCCACCAGGAAUUCCCUAGCUGCCGGUGCAGGUGAAGAUCCCCGCACCCAGAACUCCCAGCAGGAAUUUCCUGGGUGCACUGGUAGCAGGUGAAGAUCCCCCUACCUGGAAUUCCCACCAGGAAUUCUCUGGGUGCACUGGUGAAGAUCCCCCCAUUCAGAAUUCCCACCAGGAAUUCCCUGUGUGCUGGUUCAGGUGAAGAUCCCCCCACUCAGAAUUCCCAGCAGGAAUUCCCUGGGUGCCAGUGCAGGUGAAGAUCCCCCCACUCAGAAUUCCCACCAGGAAUUCUCUGGGUGCACUGGUGAAGAUCCCCCCAUUCAGAAUUCCCAGCAGGAAUUUCCUGGGUGCACUGGUAGCAGGUGAAGAUCCCCCUACCUGGAAUUCCCACCAGGAAUUCCCUGGGUGCACUGGUGAAGAUCCCCACACUCAGAAUUCCCAGCAGGAAUUCCCUGGGUGCCAGUGCAGGUGAAGAUCCCCCCACUCAGAAUUCCCACCAGGAAUUCUCUGGGUGCACUGGUGAAGAUCCCCCCAUUCAGAAUUCCCACCAGGAAUUCCCUGUGUGCUGGUUCAGGUGAAGAUCCCCCCACUCAGAAUUCCCAGCAGGAAUUCCCUGGGUGCCAGUGCAGGUGAAGAUCCCCCCACUCAGAAUUCCCACCAGGAAUUCUCUGGGUGCACUGGUGAAGAUCCCCCCAUUCAGAAUUCCCAGCAGGAAUUUCCUGGGUGCACUGGUAGCAGGUGAAGAUCCCCCUACCUGGAAUUCCCACCAGGAAUUCCCUGGGUGCACUGGUAAAGAUCCCCACACUUGGAAUUCCCACCAGGAAUUCCCUGGGUGCUGGUUCAGGUGAAGAUCCCCACACCCAGAACUCCCAGCAGGAAUUUCCUGGGUGCACUGGUAGCAGGUGAAGAUCCCCACUAAGAACUCCCACCAGGAAUUCCCUGGCUGCCAGUGCAGGUGAAGAUCCCCCCCAUUCAGAAUUCCCAUCAGGAAUUCCCUGUGUGCUGGUUCAGGUGAAGAUCCCCACACUCAGAAUUCCCAGCAGGAAUUCCCUGGCUGCCAGUGCAGGUGAAGAUCCCCCCACUCAGAAUUCCCACCAGGAAUUCUCUGGGUGCACUGGUGAAGAUCCCCCCAUUCAGAAUUCCCACCAGGAAUUCCCUGUGUGCUGGUUCAGGUGAAGAUCCCCCCACUCAGAAUUCCCAGCAGGAAUUCCCUGGGUGCACUGGUAGCAGGGGAAGAUCCCCAGAGCAGCUGAUGCAGAAGAAUUAAAUCUGCACUUUUUUCUCCACUGUUCACAUCCUGCCUGGAAAUGUCAUUGUCACAGGGGCUGGGUGGGAAUGUUUGCCGUGUAUUGGAGCACAAGUUGUUGAUUUUAGGACUGAUUUCUUAUUUUUCAUUCUCUGUGUAUGUCUGAUAAAUGUAUUUUCCUUUUUGUUUUUUCUAUUCCUGUAAAGUCUCUCCUUAAAUGUAGCUGCACAAUGUUCUGUAACUUAUGAUAUCCCAAUAUUGAUUGUUUUCUGAGGACUUCAUUCAAAACUUGUAAUUACAGGGUUGUUUGGGGUUUUUUUUAAACAGCUGCAAAGCUAAUUUUUGGUUUUAACAAACGCAACACGGUACAAAAUCUGGUCAAUAGGAAAUGCAC